rnacentral:rRNA from 1 species
UAGGGCAUCUUCGGCAAUGGACGGAAGUCUGACCGAGCAACGCCGCGUGAGUGAAGAAGGUUUUCGGAUCGUAAAGCCCUGUUGCUCGAGAAGAACGUUGGUAGGAGUGGAAAAUCUACCAAGCGACGGUAACUAACCAGAAAGGGCCGGCUAACUACGUGCCCGCAGCCGCGGUAAUACGUAGGUCCCGAGAGUUGUCCGGAGUUAUUGGGCGGAAAGCGAGCGCAGGCGGUUCUUUAAGUCUGAAGUUAAAGGCAGUGGCUUAACCAUUGUACGCUUUGGAAACUGGAGGACUUGAGUGCAGAAGGUGGGAGUGGAAUUCCAUGUGUAGCGGUGAAAUGCGUAGAUAUAUGGAGGAACACCGGUGGCGAAAGCGGCUCUCUGAUCUGUAUCUGACGCUGAGGCUCGAAAACGUGGGGAGCAAACAGG